rnacentral:rRNA from 1 species
AACGCACCUUGCGCUCCUUGGUAUUCCGAGGAGCAUGCCUGUUUGAGUGUCAUGAAAUCAUCAACCUUACUGUCUUUGUUGACGGUGUAGGCUUGGACUUGGGGACCUUGCCGGCCUUUCUGAGGUUGGCUUCCCUUGAAUGUAUUAGCGGAGACCUUUUGCUUGGCCUUGACGUGAUAAUGAUUGCCUACGUCAAUAGGCCUGGCUCUGUCUGGGAACCGCUUCCAACCGUCCUCAAGGGACAACCACUCAUGAACCCUUUUGGCUUUGUGAGAGAAAUCAAACUUGACCUCAAAUCAGGUGGGACUACCCGCUGAACUUAA